ACCUGAUGCAGCAACGCCGCGUGAGGGAUGACGGCCUUCGGGUUGUAAACCUCUUUUAGUAGGGAAGAAGCGAAAGUGACGGUACCUGCAGAAAAAGCACCGGCUAACUACGUGCCAGCUGCCGCGGUAAUACGUAGGGUGCAAGCGUUGUCCGGAAUUAUUGGGCGUAAAGAGCUCGUAGGCGGUUUGUCGCGUCUGCUGUGAAAUCUGGGGGCUCAACCCCCAGCCUGCAGUGGGUACGGGCAGACUAGAGUGCGGUAGGGGAGAUUGGAAUUCCUGGUGUAGCGGUGGAAUGCGCAGAUAUCAGGAGGAACACCGAUGGCGAAGGCAGAUCUCUGGGCCGUAACUGACGCUGAGGAGCGAAAGCAUGGGGAGCGAACAGGAUUAGAUACCCUGGUAGUCCAUGCCGUAAACGUUGGGAACUAGAUGUGGGGACCAUUCCACGGUCUCCGUGUCGCAGCUAACGCAUUAAGUUCCCCGCCUGGGGAGUACGGCCGCAAGGCUA
rnacentral:rRNA from 1 species